CGUGGGUGACUUUGAACCAGGGAGAUGCGUCUUCUCAAAUUGACUUUUGUGUUGCUAAGAACCCUCAAGUGGAAAGCAAUGAAGCCUUUUUCGAUCUGAGUUUCAAGUCUCAGCCAUUAUACUGUACUGCACAGUAAUAUGGAAGUGACUUUGGAGAACUCUCCAGUGUAUAGUCAGUGUCCCGCCUUGUGUGGACUCAACAACAGGCAUCUGUUUUGAAAUGGCAAUUCUUAGAAGAUACUGCUUUGAUCUUAACAGCCCAUUCAACCAACUUUUCAGGACCUUCAGG